rnacentral:lncRNA from 1 species
CACAUAUUUUCAAGUAUAUUUACUGAUCCGAAUGAAGACAUCAUACGUCUUGGCUAGGCAAAGUUGGAGUGUAUAAAUGGUAUGGGAACAACAGUGGUUGUGGGAAAGUACAAUUAGAGUGGGUGGAAGCCAAUACCGAGUUAAAUUCAUUCUAAUAUUGCAUUUUCUCCAAUGUGUCAUUCUGCUAUUGCGUCAUAUGCAAUACAUGGCUUAAAGCUGACUGGUGGAGGUGGAGGAGGUGCCUGAGAAGGUCGAGGUACACUUGUUGAGCCCUUGAUGAAUCAUAAACAGGUUUUCCAAACAUCUGAGUGACCACGUUGCAUUGCGUAAUUAAAUAUUGCCUUUUCCUAGGUCACUUCACUUAUCUUGCACUCUAAAAUCUAUAGAUGACAGUUUCCAUUCAUUUACCAGCACUCUGAGUAUCUUGUCAGGGUCAACACCUUCUUCCGUGUAAUCCAUCGCAAACCCAAAAUCCAAACACCCAAUUUAUCCAUCAACUGCCAACAAUAAUUACCAACAAUUUGAAGGAAAAUAUGUUUGGGUUCGAGUUAAGGGUAAAUGCUGGGAGGCCAAAUAUUUGAUGAACUUGGUUGUGGUUUGUAUAUUUGUGGAGAUGGAAGAAUUUGAGUUUGAGAAGAGAAGACUUCAAGGCUGAUGGUAGAAAAAUUGAAAAGAGUGAUGCAAUUUUGGAGGAGAUAAGGGGAACUUUUAAGGGUGGAGGAGAUAAGGGGAACUUUUAAGGGUUCUUCCCUUGAGA